AGCCAGUGAUGAUAAACUAAAUAACUUUUCUGACACCUCAUAUGAGAGCUGCACACACGGCUCCUGAUUCCAACUCUGAUCUGAGGCUC